rnacentral:rRNA from 1 species
UGAGGAAUAUUGGACAAUGGGCGCAAGCCUGAUCCAGCCAUGCCGCGUGCAGGAUGACGGUCCUAUGGAUUGUAAACUGCUUUUAUACAGGAAGAAACCCCUUUACGUGUAGAGGAUUGACGGUACUGUAGGAAUAAGGAUCGGCUAACUCCGUGCCAGCAGCCGCGGUAAUACGGAGGAUCCAAGCGUUAUCCGGAAUCAUUGGGUUUAAAGGGUCCGUAGGCGGCCUUAUAAGUCAGUGGUGAAAUCUCACGGCUCAACCGUGAAAUGGCCAUUGAUACUGUAGGGCUUGAAUUACUGUGAAGUAACUAGAAUAUGUAGUGUAGCGGUGAAAUGCUUAGAUAUUACAUGGAAUACCAAUUGCGAAGGCAGGUUACUAACAUUAUAUUGACGCUGAUGGACGAAAGCGUGGGUAGCGAACAG